CAAUACAUCUCUUCCCCAAUCCAAGGAAUGUUUUGCCGCCGCUCCGUGCGCUUCGGCCCUGAUUCAGCGCCGCCUCGCCGUCCGUGCGCCCACUGCGCGGUUGCCGCUUGCCACGCCUCACCCGUCGGGGUCGAGGGUUCGCCUGCAAGCAUGAUCGGCGGCACCAGCCGCCACGUCGACCUCUUGCGGCGCUCCUCCAACCCCGACCUCCAGCGGUGCUCCUCUGGUACUCCACACCCUGACGCACCACCCACUUCUCCGUCCCCAUGCCCCGAUCCCCUUCGUCCUCCUCUUCCCAAGCCGCUGGCGUCCACCACAUAUCCUCUCCCCUUCUCUACAGCCCAGCCCAUCCCCACACGGCGAGCCCCUACAGAUCGAGGCGUCCAUUGCGCUCCCUUGCGAUGGUCGCCCGGCGGUAACCCAUAACCCAGCUCCUCCCUUCCUCCUCUUCUCCAUCGCAGGGGGAUGUCACAUCCUUCCACCGCAAGGACGUCGUCGACGGAACGGCCCGGAUGCUGAUUCCGUUGCUGCCUGCGCCUGAAACCACGCGGACACCACUUCCUCGAUGUGACCGGCGCCACACUCCACGCGAACGCCAUAUCUGGUAAUCUGGUUAUGCGUGUAGGUUUAACUGAAGUUCAGAUGUCAUUUUAUUACUAAAAGGAGGCAGAAGGUAGUGAGAGCGAGGAUGAUGGGGAUGAAGCGGAAGCGGAGGACGUGACUCCCAAGUUGUGCUUUACUAGCCACACAAACUUCAGCUCUCGCAGUUUGUCUCGGAGUUCCGUCGGACAAAAUUCUCAGGGAAGCUCAGGACGGUUGCUUGGGCUCCAGGAAGAACUUCUGUAUUAACAUGGAUGUCCAGAAGCUUGGGAGUGCAAACCGGAUCAACUGGAGGUCCUUGGGAUUGAAAAUAACAAGAGAAACACAAAAUUAAGGCAUGUGCCGAUUACGUCGAAUUUGAUAUGCAAUGCUCAGAUGUUGUGUUACAUGUUAAUACAAAUAUAGCUGCUUCUUGCAUGUUUAGGGCUUGCCAUUCUCAUGUGACUGAUAGUGUGAUAACUACUGUAUCAGGACCAUAAUUAAUAUCUUCAGAGGAUUUUGAACUGAACUUUGGUUUUGUCCGUUUUAGGUGUUAUAGUAAUUGUGUCUGUUUUUAUUUCCUCACAUAUUCUGAUUGCACAAUAAUUGUUUGGAUAUCAUAUUUGCAUACGCUGGCUUGUUAAAUACCAUCAGUCUGGUGCCAAUUUAUGACUUCUGAAUCUGGAAUGUUCACAAGUAUAUUUCCGUCUCUUUACCAAAAACAAAUGUGCAGAAUUAGCAUGUCCAAUAAUUGUUAUCUUUAUCUUUGUUGAAUAUGUUUUCAUGACUUUUAGCUAUAAACCAUUCCGAUGAGGAGUUUGUGAACUGCUUUAGUCGAUGAUUAAUUCAUGAAAUUUCAGAGUUGCCUGGGGAUGACGGUCCGGCCACAUCCGUAGCAGGACGUGGCAGCGCUACCACUGCGAAUACUUUGACAAUAAUAGCCUGAUAGAUCUCAUAGCAUGUGUGGAGUACCACCCAUAGUGAAUCAUCAAUAAUUCCCACAGUGAAUCAUCAAUAAUACUGUGCUGCCCUUUGUAUCUGGUUUGAGGCCUGGUUGAAUGCAUUGUUCGGGCAAUUCUCUUCUAAAUGAAAAGGCACAGCUCCUGAGGAUGAAGGCAGGCUAUGGAUUCCACGGGCUUGAUAUGCACUUAUAGCUUUGACCACACGCCGGUGGCUAGGUUGUCUGAUAGGGAGUAUUGUAGUUCCUGGUAAUAUAUUAGGCCGAUAUGCUGUCAGGUGGGUCGGCGUGCCUGCCAGUCUUGGCAAAGUAGAAUCACCUGGUCAUACUCCUAUAUAUAUAUUCUGAAGCAUCUCCAACACUUGUCCUGGAAAAAAUGCCUAAGAAUUUUUGGCAAUUGUAAUACGCUCUUUCUGUUCAUCAAUAUGGGUUGUGGGCUUCUAACUUUCAGGCAUAUUUGAGAUCUGUAUUUUGGACUCUUUCAUAUCUGC